GUGGGGUAUGGUAUCCCUAGAGAAGGUGACUCUGCGGCUGAGCUUGAAGGAAGAGAAUUGGUAGGUGACAAAGAAGAGGAAUACAACACAUUCCUGUCAUUAAGAGAAGCUGCUGACUUGAAAUGGGAGUUCAGUAAUGGCAGUGAGAGGAGAUGAAGUAACACCAUUGGAGAAGGUCAGAGCACAGAGCAAGGCCUUAAAAACAAGCCACAGCAUUUGGACUUUAUUCUCCUCAUUUAUGCCAUCCUGUUUAUCAGUAUUGAUCUGCAGCACUCCAAGGUCCAAGGGACAAAGGCAAGGAAAUCUCCAACCUCUCAGAAUAUGAGAAGAUACUAUAGUAAAUAUGUCACCAAAUUUUAUUCUACAACAGC
rnacentral:sRNA from 1 species